UACCUCACAGUCCACAAGGCAUGAGUGUAAGUGAAGAGAAUGAGUCCCAGAAAUCCUUCCAUCCAUGCCCAGUAUAAAUAAAGGAUAUUAACAAGCCAUUCUUUUUCCUCUCAGUGCUGCUGAAAACAAAUUCACCAGAUCAUUUAAGUGGUUUUCUUUGAACUACCUCUGUUCUUCCUACACAGACAGCACAUGAAGAAAAGUAUCUGUCCUGGACCUGAUUCUUACAAACAAGGAAGAACUUGUUGGCAUGUGAAAGCCAGAGAUUGCAGUGCUGAUGCUCAAGAUCCUAAAAGGAGGGAGUAGGGCAAGUGGCAGGUCUGCAAUCCUGAUUUUCUGGAGAGCAGAUUUUGGUCCCUUCACAGACCUGCUUGGGAGAAUCCCAUGGGAUAUAGUCUGAGAGAGAAGAGGAGUUCAG